AAAAUUCCAAUUAAAACAACAAAACUUUGCCAUUUUCUCACGAUUCCUCUCUCCUCUCUCACUUCACACGACACGUUCUCCAAUAAACCGCACAACGACGUCCUCCGUCCGGCAACAUCCUCCACUCUGACGAGGUCCUACAAUCUAGCGAGCAGGUACGUAAUCUCCCUCAAAACUUGCUUGGAAACCACGCCCCCCCCCUUUUUUUUGGUAUUUUAGGGUAUCUUAUUCUUGCUUUCACACUUUCUAAAAUCAGAAUCAAGAAGGGCUUUUGCCCAAUUUCAAUAUCCCUUUAUUGUCUGUAACUCACUAGAGGCUCGGGAAACAAAGAGAAGAUGUGUACGAACGAGAUAUCCAGCAACAAGAAGAAGGAAAAGGACUGAAUAGAGGAACUCCCGAACAUUUGGUGAUCUCAGAUGUGUCGAUAUCAAUGGUGACUCAUUAUUUUGAUGAAUCAUUUCUUCGGACAGAAGAAGACUUCUUGCGAUGAACUGUGAGUGCCACAUCAAAUACAACACGAGUUUGUCUGAAAUGUAAAGGAACAGAACUAAAAUAUAGAGAAAAAUUACUGAGAGUUGCGUGUAAAAGAUUACUGAGUUCGUCUAUUUUUUUCCGAGAUUUGUGUGUGAGACACUGAAGUGUAUAGAAAAUAUUGAAUUGGC
rnacentral:lncRNA from 1 species